ACGCUGGCGGCGUGCCUAAUACAUGCAAGUAGAACGCUGAAGCUUGGUGCUUGCACCGAGCGGAUGAGUUGCGAACGGGUGAGUAACGCGUAGGUAACCUGCCUCUUAGCGGGGGAUAACUAUUGGAAACGAUAGCUAAUACCGCAUAAAAGUCGAUAUCGCAUGAUAUUGAUUUGAAAGGUGCAAUUGCAUCACUAAGAGAUGGACCUGCGUUGUAUUAGCUAGUUGGUGAGGUAACGGCUCACCAAGGCGACGAUACAUAGCCGACCUGAGAGGGUGAUCGGCCACACUGGGACUGAGACACGGCCCAGACUCCUACGGGAGGCAGCAGUAGGGAAUCUUCGGCAAUGGGGGCAACCCUGACCGAGCAACGCCGCGUGAGUGAAGAAGGUUUUCGGAUCGUAAAGCUCUGUUGUAAGAGAAGAACGAGUGUGAGAGUGGAAAGUUCACACUGUGACGGUAACUUACCAGAAAGGGACGGCUAACUACGUGCCAGCAGCCGUGGUAAUACGUAGGUCCCGAGCGUUAUCCGGAUUUAUUGGGCGUAAAGCGAGCGCAGGCGGUUAGAUAAGUCUGAAGUUAAAGGCUGUGGCUUAACCAUAGUACGCUUUGGAAACUGUUUAACUUGAGUGCAGAAGGGGAGAGUGGAAUUCCAUGUGUAGCGGUGAAAUGCGUAGAUAUAUGGAGGAACACCGGUGGCGAAAGCGGCUCUCUGGUCUGUAACUGACGCUGAGGCUCGAAAGCGUGGGGAGCAAACAGGAUUAGAUACCCUGGUAGUCCACGCCGUAAACGAUGAGUGCUAGGUGUUGGGUCCUUUCCGGGAUUCAGUGCCGCAGCUAACGCAUUAAGCACUCCGCCUGGGGAGUACGACCGCAAGGUUGAAACUCAAAGGAAUUGACGGGGGCCCGCACAAGCGGU
rnacentral:rRNA from 1 species